rnacentral:snoRNA from 1 species
AUUCAUAAGUAAUAAUCAGAAGUGAUGAUUGGGUGUUCACGCUGCUGCGUGACAUGUGCCUCCCUCACAAACCUUGUUACGACAUCGGCACAUUACCUGUCUGACG